AGCUCUGUAAGCGUAUACCAAAGUUGUUGCAGUUAAAACGCUCGUAGUCGGAUAUUGGUGAUUCCGGAUGUGUGCGCGUCGUGUGCGCAUGUCGCAGGGAUUGCUUUUGUGGGUAUGCAUGGGAUGAGGCACUUUACUGUUGAACGUCCUUAUGCGACCACUUUUUACUGUGAGAAAAUCAAAGUGCUCAAAGCAGGCAAUUGCCGUGAAUGUAUUAGCAUGGAAUAAUGGAAUAGGACUUUGUUCUAUUUUGUUGGUUUGUUGGGACAAAGUAAUGAUUAAGAGGGACAGUUGGGGGCAUUUGUAUUCCGACGCUAGAGGUGAAAUUCUUAGAUUGCCGGAAGACAAACUGCUGCGAAAGCGUCUGCCAAGGAUGUUUUCAUUGAUCAAGAACGAAAGU
rnacentral:rRNA from 1 species